rnacentral:rRNA from 1 species
AUUGAACGCUGGCGGCAUGCUUUACACAUGCAAGUCGAACGGUAACACCACUUUGGUGGCUGACGCGUGUCGCACGGGUGUGUAAUAUAUCUGAAAGUGCCUAGUAUUGGGGGGUAACUACUCGCAAGAGUAGCUAUUAUCGCACCAGAUCUAAGGAUGAGAGCAGGGGACCUUCGGGGCUUGCGCUCCUAGUGCGGCUGAUGUCAGAUUAGGUAGUUGGUGGGAUAAAAGCUUACCAAGCCGACGAUCUGUAGCUGGUCUGAGAGGACGAGCAGCCACACUGGGACUGAGACACGGCCCAGACUCCUACGGGAGGCAGCAGUGGGGAAUGUUGGACAAUGGGCGCAAGCCUGAUCCAGCAAUGCCGCGUGCAGGAUGAAGGCCUUCGGGUUGUAAACUGCUUUUGUACGGAACGAAAAGCUCUCGUCUAAUACAGGAGGGUGAUGACGGUACCGUAAGAAUAAGCACCGGCUAACUACGUG